rfam:Schistosoma haematobium scaffold206_6, whole genome shotgun sequence.
AUCCAGCUGACGAGUCCCAAAUAGGACGAAACGGGCUUCUUGGAU